rnacentral:rRNA from 1 species
UCUGUUUGAUCCUGCCGGAGGUUACUGCUAUCGAGGUUCGACUAAGCCAUGCGAGUCGAAUGUAGCAAUACAUGGCGAACUGCUCAGUAACACGUGGACAACCUGCCCUUAGGACGGGGAUAAACCCGGGAAACUGGGUAUAAUACCCGAUAGGUCUCGAUUGCUGGAAUGCAUCGAGAUUUAAAGCUCCGGCGCCUAAGGAUGGGUCUGCGGCCUAUCAGGUAGUAGUGGGUGUAGCGUACCUACUAGCCUACGACGGGUACGGGUUGUGAGAGCAAGAGCCCGGAGAUGGAUUCUGAGACACGAAUCCAGGCCCUACGGGGUGCAGCAGGCGCGAAAACUUUACAAUGCUGGCAACAGCGAUAAGGGAACCUCGAGUGCCAGGUUACAAAUCUGGCUGUCGAGAUGCCUAAAAAGCAUUUCAUAGCAAGGGCCGGGCAAGACCGGUGCCAGCCGCCGCGGUAACACCGGCGGCUCGAGUGGUAACCGUUAUUAUUGGG